rnacentral:rRNA from 1 species
AGCCCAAUAGCUAGCCUACCCAUCCACCUAACAACCAACUAUUAAUAACCCAAAAUACCGCAAACCAUAAAUAAACAAACCAUUUUUCCGUCCUAGUAUGUGCGACAGAAAAG